GGGCCCGUAGCUCAGCAAGGUAGAGCGGCGGGCUCUUAACCCGCGGGUCGAGGGUUCAAUUCCCUCCGGGCCCGCCA
rnacentral:tRNA from 1 species